CCUACGGGGGGCAGCAGUGGGGAAUAUUGGACAAUGGGCGAAAGCCUGAUCCAGCCAUGCCGCGUGUGUGAAGAAGGCCUUCGGGUUGUAAAGCACUUUCAGUGGGGAAGAAAGCCUUGGGGCUAAUACCCUCGAGGAAGGACAUCACCCACAGAAGAAGCACCGGCUAACUCCGUGCCAGCAGCCGCGGUAAUACGGAGGGUGCGAGCGUUAAUCGGAAUUACUGGGCGUAAAGCGCGCGUAGGCGGUCUGAUAAGCCGGUUGUGAAAGCCCCGGGCUCAACCUGGGAACGGCAUCCGGAACUGUCAGGCUAGAGUGCAGGAGAGGAAGGUAGAAUUCCCGGUGUAGCGGUGAAAUGCGUAGAGAUCGGGAGGAAUACCAGUGGCGAAGGCGGCCUUCUGGACUGACACUGACGCUGAGGUGCGAAAGUGUGGGUAGCAAACAGGAUUAGAUACCCGUGUAGUC
rnacentral:rRNA from 1 species